rnacentral:rRNA from 1 species
CUUAUACUCGGGAGUCAGACUGCGAGUGAUAAGAUCCGUAGUCGAAAGGGAAACAGCCCAGACCACCAGUUAAGGUCCCCAAAUAUAUGUUAAGUGGAAAAGGAUGUGGGGUUGCUUAGACAACCAGGAUGUUGGCUUAGAAGCAGCCACCAUUGAAAGAGUGCGUAAUAGCUCACUGGUCGAGUGACCCCGCGCCGAAAAUGUACCGGGGCUAAACAUAUUACCGAAACUGUGGAUGAACCUCUUUAGAGGUUCGUGGUAGGAGAGCGUUCUAAGGGCGGUGAAGUCAGACCGGAAGGACUGGUGGAGCGCUUAGAAGUGAGAAUGCCGGUAUGAGUAGCGAAAGAAGGGUGAGAAUCCCUUCCACCGAAUAUCUAAGGUUUCCUGAGGAAGGCUCGUCCGCUCAGGGUUAGUCGGGACCUAAGCCGAGGCCGAUAGGCGUAGGCGAUGGACAACAGGUAGAGAUUCCUGUACCAGUGCUAAUUGUUUAACCGAUGGGGUGACACAGAAGGAUAGGGAAUCGCACGAAUGGAAAUGUGCGUCCAAGCAGUGAGUGUGAGAAGUAGGCAAAUCCGCUUCUCGCGAAGCAUGAGCUGUGAUGGGGAAGGAAAUUAAGUACGGAAGUUCCUGAUUUCACGCUGUCAAGAAAAGCCUCUAGGAAGAGUAGUACUGCCCGUACCGCAAACCGACACAGGUAGAUGAGGAGAGAAUCCUAAGGUGAGCGAGAGAACUCUCGUUAAGGAACUCGGCAAAAUGACCCCGUAACUUCGGGAGAAGGGGUGCUCUAUUAGGGUGCAAGCCCGAGAGAGCCGCAGUGAAUAGGCCCAGGCGACUGUUUAGCAAAAACACAGGUCUCUGCAAAACCGUAAGGUGACGUAUAGGGGCUGACGCCUGCCCGGUGCUGGAAGGUUAAGAGGAGUGCUUAGCUUCGGCGAAGGUACGAAUUGAAGCCCCAGUAAACGGCGGCCGUAACUAUAACGGUCCUAAGGUAGCGAAAUUCCUUGUCGGGUAAGUUCCGACCCGCACGAAAGGCGCAACGAUCUGGGCACUGUCUCAACGAGAGACUCGGUGAAAUUAUAGUACCUGUGAAGAUGCAGGUUACCCGCGACAGGACGGAAAGACCCCGUGGAGCUUUACUGCAACCUGAUAUGGAAUGUUUGUACCGCUUGUACAGGAUAGGUAGGAGCCGAAGAGACGUGUGCGCUAGCAUACGAGGAGGCAAUGGUGGGAUACUACCCUGGCUGUAUGACCAUUCUAACCCGCCACGCUUAGCGCGUGGGGAGACAGUGUCAGGUGGGCAGUUUGACUGGGGCGGUCGCCUCCUAAAGAGUAACGGAGGCGCCCAAAGGUUCCCUCAGAAUGGAUGGAAAUCAUUCGCAGAGUGUAAAGGCACAAGGGAGCUUGACUGCGAGACUGACAAGUCGAGCAGGGACGAAAGUCGGGCUUAGUGAUCCGGUGGUUCCGCAUGGAAGGGCCAUCGCUCAACGGAUAAAAGCUACCCCGGGGAUAACAGGCUUAUCUCCCCCAAGAGUCCACAUCGACGGGGAGGUUUGGCACCUCGAUGUCGGCUCGUCGCAUCCUGGGGCUGUAGUCGGUCCCAAGGGUUGGGCUGUUCGCCCAUUAAAGCGGCACGCGAGCUGGGUUCAGAACGUCGUGAGACAGUUCGGUCCCUAUCCGUCGCGGGCGCAGGAAAUUUGAGAGGAGCUGUCCUUAGUACGAGAGGACCGGGAUGGACACACCGCUGGUGUACCAGUUGUUCCGCCAGGAGCAUCGCUGGGUAGCUAUGUGUGGCAGGGAUAAACGCUGAAAGCAUCUAAGCGUGAAGCCCCCCUCAAGAUGAGAUUUCCCAUUUCUUCGGAAAGUAAGAUCCCUGAAAGAUGAUCAGGUAGAUAGGUUUGGAGUGGAAGUGUAGCGAUACAUGGAGCGGACAAAUACUAAUCGAUCGAGGACUUAACCAA